rnacentral:lncRNA from 1 species
ACUUGCAACAGGGUUGGCACAUCAUAAAUACCUAGAAAAUAGUAGGAACUUAUUAUUAAUAAUAAGUGGAUAUACACUUCCCAAGCAGGUGGUAAAUACAUGGGUGUUAUUUUGAUUAAGUUUUCAAAUGCUCAUAGAUCUUACGAACACUUUUUAUGUGCAUGAUGUGUGUAGGACGCGGGUGAACGUACAUUAAAAAUAAAUGAGCGCGUAUGAGGAUAUUUCAGAAAUCCAAAAUAGAGAGAAAUAUCCCAUCCUGCUAUUGAACCUCUGUGUCAAAUAAUGGUACUGUACUGGUGUUCUGAGUCAUGGCUCAAAAGUAAGGGUCCUAUAGGGCUAGUAUUGAUGGCCUGUGUUGAUAUUUUCAUGUCUUCUCUUCCUGGUGCUCGGGAUUUAACAGAGGGCCUGGUACCUGCUAGGCAAGUGCUCUCCAGUUAAGCUGUAUCUCCGGUCUCUUCUUGUGGUUUUCUGAGCCUGCUCUGGGUGUUUCUGUAUAGCUCAGGUUACCCUCAAUUCAUAAUCUUUCUGCUCUCGAGCCCUGGGUGCUAGGCCUAUAGGAAUAUGCUGUCAUGUCUGGCUUUUUCAUUAGGUUGUCAGGUUGUAGAUUCGAUGGAGUCACAAGGAUUGACCCACCUUAAUGGCUGCCCAGUACAGGAGGAAGGGCAGCUACGAGAUUCUGCAGAGGGGAACUGAUUCAUUUUGCAUCAACUCAUAUGCCAUAUAUGCCAAUGACUCCUUCCACUAGCAAAUGCUGAAACAUCACCUUUUACUUUGUCCCCUGUCUCCUCUGGCCACCUCCUUUGGCUUUCUGAGACAGGGUUUCCCUGUGUAGCCCUGGCUGUCCUGGAACUUGCUCUGUAGACCAGACUGACCUCAAACUCAGAGGUUUGUAUACCUUUGCCUCUCAAGUGCGGUGAGUAAAGGUGUGCGCCACCACACCUAGGUCAUCACCUUUUCUAUUUCCUUUAUUGUCUUCUUUUAAUCUCUCUACAUGGAAAGAGGGUGAUGUUGGUGAGGUUGUUUAAUUUGGGGCUUCAGAAGAUGGUCCAGGUGAAAUGGACACACCAUACUCCAUUUCUCUGGUACUCUUUGCAGGGUUGCUGUUGCUCUCAAAGCCUGUUGCAGCAGAGUUAAUUUCCUGACCCGAAGACACCUCUUUUGCAUAGUUCCUGGAGUCUGCAGUGCUACCCUGGCCCCCUCCAAAUGCCAGCUGCUGCCCAGCAUUCAUUUGUGAACCUGUUCGCAUCCUUCAAACCAGCUGCAAGUGUCUUGCCCAUCUCUGAAUCACUUGUGACUGACUCGGCAACUGACUAUGGCUGGAAGGAUGGGCUAGCGCUUCUAGGACCAAGUUGAAGAAGGCGUAGCCACUUCCUUCCUGUCUGCUUGUGGGAAGCUAGCUGCCCAGUCAUGAGGAGGCAGAAGGUCUAGGAAGAAGCUCACCCAGAGGAGGAAAUAAAGUCUCCUGCCGACAGCCAGCUGCAACUUGUUCUGCAUGUGAGCAAGCCGUCAUAGCAGAGAUUCUUCUAGAACAAACCAAGGAGGCCAACCGAGUCGGUGCAAAUCAGAUGCUAACGGCAACCCCUCCGCCCAGAAAUCCCAAGUGGAAGGACGCCUCUCGUGAAAUUGCCUUCCGUGACAGUUACAGACAGCCUGAAGGGAAUACCUGUCCAGGUGAUACGGGACAAGAAAAACACCACGAUGUAAGCAUCGUUUCUACAGAUCUCACAACAGGCCCCAAGCCAACCCCGUUGGGAUUCGUAUCAUGCUUUGUUGCACCAGAUGAAGUCUGAUCUGGGACCGUGCCAGAAAACACGGAAGGAAGACGAGAAAGGGUGAAGAGCUUCUAAAUUAGAUUCUGCUGGGGCCAGGAAAGCAGACACGACUGCCGUGGAGAAGGUCAAUGCAAGCAUUUUAAAAUCGUGUCUUCCUUUUCAUGAUAAUCAAACAUUAAAAUGAGUGCAUUCUCUGCUCUCUGGAAAA